UACGUAGGUGGCAAGCGUUGUCCGGAAUUAUUGGGCGUAAAGCGCGCGCAGGCGGUCCUUUAAGUCUGAUGUGAAAGCCCACGGCUCAACCGUGGAGGGUCAUUGGAAACUGGGGGACUUGAGUGCAGAAGAGGAAAGCGGAAUUCCACGUGUAGCGGUGAAAUGCGUAGAGAUCCGGAGGAAGACCGGUGGCGAAGGCGGCCUGCUGGGCAGUUACUGACACUGAUGCGCGACAGCGUGGGGAGCAAACAGG
rnacentral:rRNA from 1 species